UUCUAGGUCAAGUUCCUGCCAAGAUGUCCUGCCAGCAGAGCCAGAAGCAGUGCCAGCCUCCUCCCAAGUGCCCCUCCCCGAAGUGCUCCCCAAAGUGCCCCCCAAAGAGCACAGCACAGUGUCUGCCUGCAGCCUCUUCCUGCUGUGCUACAAGCUCUGGGGGCUGCAGUGUCCCCAGCUCUGAGGGAGGCUGCUGCCUGAGCCACCACAGGCGCAGGUCCCACAGAUGCAGGCGCAGGAGCUCCAGUUCCUGUGACCGUGGCAGUGGUCAGCAGUCUGGGGGCUGCUGCUGACUUGUAUCACGAGGUUGAGACAAGAGAGUUUUGAAUACUGAGCCACCUUGGCUUGUGCUCUCUCAGACAUCCUUAUCUCUCUUGAGCUAUGUGUUCUUAGACUCUUCUAAUGGAUUUCCCGAAAGCCUGGUUGCCUCUCCUUCUCAUGGUUCCAUCACCUGUGUCUGGGCAUGUCAGUGAAUAAAGUUCUUUCUCAGCAUUACCAGU
rnacentral:lncRNA from 1 species